rnacentral:rRNA from 1 species
GCGUCGUAGUCCGGAUUGGAGUCUGCAACUCGACUCCAUGAAGUCGGAAUCGCUAGUAAUCGUGAAUCAGAAUGUCACGGUGAAUACGUUCCCGGGCCUUGUACACACCGCCCGUCACACCAUGGGAGUGGGCUGCAAAAGAAGCAGGUAGUUUAACCUUCGGGAGGACGCUUGCCACUUUGUGGUUCAUGACUGGGGUGAAGUCGUAACAAGGUAGCGCUAGGGGAACCUGGCGCUGGAUCACCUCCUUA